GAUGAACGCUAGCUACAGGCUUAACACAUGCAAGUCGAGGGACCGGCGCACGGGUGAGUAACACGUAUCCAACCUGCCCUUUACUCGGGGAUAGCCUUUCGAAAGAAAGAUUAAUACCCGAUAUAAAGGAUGGGGAUGCGUUCCAUUAGGUUGUUGGUGAGGUAACGGCUCACCAAGCCUUCGAUGGAUAGGGGUUCUGAGAGGAAGGUCCCCCACAAUGGAACUAAGGCACGGUCCAAACUGCUACGGGAGGGAGCAGUAAGGAAUGUUAGUGAAUGGGCGCUAGCCUAAAACAGCCAAGUAGCGUGAAGGAUGGAGGGUUCUGGGACGUAAGCUGCUUGUAUAUAACAAUAUGUAUUAUAUGAAAAAGGAUCGGCUAACUCCGUGCCAGCAGCCGCGGUAAUUC
rnacentral:rRNA from 1 species